rnacentral:rRNA from 1 species
UACGAGGGGGGCGAGCGUUGUUCGGAAUUAUUGGGCGUAAAGCGCGCGCAGGUGGUUUCUUAAGUCUGAUGUGAAAGCCCACGGCUCAACCGUGGAGGGUCAUUGGAAACUGGGAGACUUGAGUGCAGAAGAGGAAAGUGGAAUUCCAUGUGUAGCGGUGAAAUGCGUAGAGAUAUGGAGGAACACCAGUGGCGAAGGCGACUUUCUGGUCUGUAACUGACACUGAGGCGCGAAAGCGUGGGGAGCAAACAGG